CAGAGAUAGGGGCCUAAAUCCGGACUGCCAGGAGGCGCCUUCCUCUGCUUGUGAUUCUCAGCGUCUCUGGGGUCAGGUGCCCACGCUAGCAAGAAGCCAGGAUACCCUACAGGUUCAAUGUCAAGGGCUUGACCUUAGAUGUGUCUCACAUUUUACUACAUCGAUAAGCUGUUGGGCUAUUGCCGAGGGUUGAACCCGGACAAUAGAUGAGAUAAAACCCAACUGGAAGAUUGUAGAGGUGAGUCCAAGCUGAAGUGAAGCACAGAGCACCCC